rnacentral:lncRNA from 1 species
UUAGAUAACAAUGACUACUGGCUUCCCAAUCAUAAUUUGAGACAGAUAAAUCUGUACUUUAUUGAUAGCAGAAGCAGAUAGCCCUAAUCACUAAACACCAGCACAAUCUGGUUUCUGUAGGAUAAUGACCCAUCUCUAUAUUCAUAACAACAAUCUCAUUCAUCAUAAUUCACAUUAAAAAAAGAAGAAUAACUCUAGUCAAGCUAAUGGAAGAAACGUGUGAAAAGUGAUUGGAUGGGUAAAACUCUGUAUGCAGCUGGAGAGUCCUAAUUGAUUAUAUUGUGCUGCAACUAAGCCUUCUGCUUGUACAUCAGAUCUUUAUCUAACUACAUUUCAAUUGAUUUUCACUGAUAGUCUUCUUUUUUAUGUCUAAGGUUUAAAGUACUAAACUAAUAAAAGGAUAAAAGACUUUGUAAUACAGAUUUCAAAAUAUAAUGUCCAAGCAGGACGUCCAUGGAAUAAGAGGGCAGAUUGAAUGUAUACAGCCCACCCAACCAGAACCUGUGAAUUUUAAUUUAAAAUAAAGAAAGAGAUUGGGAUUAAAGUCUGUAUUUGAAGAGUCUGAAGCAAAACACCAACUCAAACAUUCAAAGAUACAAGUGUCUAAUUUUUUUAUGAUAGAAUGUAGAGAUGUAGGACAAAAGAUUACCCAUUUAGUAGCUAUAGUAUAUAGUCUUAUGUAAUGUACAUAUUCAAUGUUUAGUCCAAAAUCAAAAUGCCAUGAAUUUAGCUCUCUCAUUAAAUAAUGAUGGGUUUGGAAACAAGUCAGGUGCAACAGAUAGACACUAUGUAACUUCCACUUAAAAGACCUACUAAAUUAAUUGGUAUACAUAAUCUCAAAAUAGCACUGCUGAACAGAAUAUAGAAUGAGGGUAUAAACUUCCAUCCUUGAGAAUAUAUUUUGAUAGUUUAAUUGCAUACACUAAGUUAGACAUAUCUAAAGUGCACCAUUUACAAGUUUUAACAUAUGUAUACACCCAUGAAAUCAUCACCACAAUCAAGAUAAUGAACAUAGUGUAGUGAUCACUGCCAAAGGUUAAAUCAUGCCCCUUUGUAAUCCAUCUCUCUUCCUGCCCCAUUUGGAUAUCCAGGAAACCACUUCUUGCUUUCAGUUACCACAGAUUAGUUAGCAUCCUCUAGCACAUUAUAAAAAUGAAGCCGUACAGUAUGUAUUCAUUUGUUCUGGCUCCUUUUGCUUAUUUGAGAUCCACCCAUAUUAUCGCAUUUAUCAAGAACUCAUUCCUAUUUAUUGCUGAGUAGUAUUCCAUUUUAUAGAUAAAUACCAAUUCGUUUCUCCAUUUACCUGUUAAGGGACAUUGGGUUAUUUCCAUUUCUUGACUACUACAAGUGUAUAUAGCUGAUACUAAACUUUCAUGUACGGUUCUUAUAUGGACAAAUGCCUUCAUUUCUCUUGGUUAAAUAUUUAGGAAUGGAAUGGCUAGAUCAUAUGAUAAGUGCAUGUUUAAUGUUUUAAGAAACUAGCAAGGAGUUUUCCAAAACAUUUGUACAAUUUUCUAUUUCCAAAAGCAAUGUACAAGAGCUCCAGUUGCUCUAUGUCCUUCCCCAAGACUAGGUAUGAUCAGCAUUUUAAAUUUUGGGAUAUCUAAUAAGCAGGUAGUGGGAUCUCAUUUUUGUUUUAAUUUGCAAAUCUCUAAGGACUAACGGUAUUAAACAUUUUUGCAUAUGCUUCUUUGCCAUCUAUAGAUCUUCUUUGGUGAAAUCUGUUCAAAUCAUUUGCUCAUUUUUAAAAAUAAAAGAUUGAGGCCAGAGUGCGGUGGCUCAUGCCUAUAAUCCUGGCACUUUGGGAGGCUGAGGCAGGAGGAUCACUGGAGCCCAGGAGUUCAAGACCUGCCUGGGCACUAUACAGUGGGACCCUGUCUCUACAAAAAAUUUCAAAAAUUGUUGGGACAUGUUGGCACAUGACUGUAGUCCCAGCUACUUGGGAGGCUGAGGUGGGAGGAUCACUUGAGCCUAGGAGGUGGAGGCUGCAGUGAACCAU